UCCUCACCUUUUUCCGGAAAUUUUUUUGCGUACCGGGGGGGUCAAAAGGAAGAGGGCCCAAACUUUUAAGUUCACCCCCCCCCCCCUCUGACACAGACUCUGGACACAGCAAAAAUAACAAAUUUAUUAAUACUUUUAUGACUACAAAUUUCUUUUCUACUAACAAAAAUGUAUGCAGAAUAUACUGAUAAUAAAUAAUAUUACGCUUUUACAGAAUUCGACUUUUUUAUUGUUUAAUUGAUUUUUAGAAGUUAGAAAAGACAAACUUAAGGUUUUCUGGGAGAGAAAGGAUGGUAACCAAGGGCCAAGUAUUGCAUACGCCGGAAUACCAUUCGUGCAUGUUGGAGAGAAAGUCUUGUGGUGUCACCAAGGGAAAGACAAAAAUGAAAAAGCAAAACAAAAAAAUAAGGAGAAGAUUCGCAGCAGUCAGGUAACAAGACAUUUAGCAAAUACUAAUAGGCAUACACAGCUUUCUACAAAUAAGCGGAUUUUACUUUUCAUUUUACAGGGUGCCGACCAUUGUUAUCAUACCCAGAGAAGAUCUUUUGGUCAGACAUCUAAAAAGAAAGAAUGCCCAGCUACAAUUUUCAUCACACAAAUUGCAAAAUUUCCGCAAAUGAAGGUCUUUAAAUGUUGUAAACAAACGAUAAAAUAAGUCUUUUUCUAACAUACAUAAAAACCCGCAAACAUGACGUAUACACUAUUCUUUAGAUUGAAAAAGACAGUAUAUUCUUCAGAAGAAGAAUUGCAAAACAAUUGCACGAAAAAUUGAAGGAAAACACUAUUGCAAGUGACGGUGUUGAAAUGCGGUAUAUCGUAAAGUUACCUCAUCCUUCUGAACACCAAUAUCACUUAACUGGGAAGGUAACAAUUUGUUUAAAAGUUAAAGGGAAUUGCAUGUAUGAAAAUAAAUAUUGACGCAGAAUUAUAAAUUACUAAUGACAACAUUUGGUAAUGAUAAUAUUUUAAUAUAGUACAUUAUCGCAACCGGUGAACCGCAAGUUUAUCCUAUCCAACGUUUCAAGAAAACACUUCAAUACCACAGAAUAAACAUUUACAGAAGUCCGACUUCGUGUCGGUGGUGCCUUUGAUGUUAGUGUAACCGCCACCACGCCAUGUUAUUUGCAA